UACGAAGGGGGCUAGCGUUGUUCGGAAUUACUGGGCGUAAAGCGUAUGCAGGCGGAUCGUUAAGUCGGGGGUGAAAUCCCGAGGCUCAACCUCGGAACUGCCUUCGAUACUGGCGAUCUCGAGUCCGGGAGAGGUGAGUGGAACUCCGAGUGUAGAGGUGAAAUUCGUAGAUAUUCGGAAGAACACCAGUGGCGAAGGCGGCUCACUGGCCCGGUACUGACGCUGAGAUACGAAAGCGUGGGGAGCAAACAGG
rnacentral:rRNA from 1 species